GAAGAAAACCUCAAGGAGGGGCCAGAAGGUGGCAGAACGGAAGGAGAACUUAAGGACUGCGCUGCUUUGCAGAUGAGUGUUUGAAAGUGAACAGCCAAUUUAACAAGAAGCAAAACCACAGAACAGUCAACUCACAUUUCUUAACGAAAUCAGUCAGUCUCUGCCUACUAUCCUCUCCCACCAUCUGUGUUCUUUUUAUUUAUUUCUCAGAUGCUGCUACAGUAGAUAACCUGAUCAAUCUCCGAAGAACUCAGGAGGAAGGGAAGCCUUGUGCUUGAGCAACUUUUUCUACAAUCGAUAUGUAAAGGGGAUGAAGACAUUGCCUGCCAUGCUUGGAACUAGGAAACUGUUUUGUGUCUUCUUCCUGAUCCUAUAUCUGGGCCUCCAGAGCAUCCAUGGAGAGGAGUCAUGUGCUGUAGAACUUCGUAUUAGGAGAAAUUCAGAGCACACUGUUGCGGCAAGAACUUUUUUUAAAAUGGAAUGUCCUGUGAGAUACUGUGGUCACAGACCUAAUGUGACGUGGUGCAAGUUGAACGGAGCAGACUGUUUCCUUCCCGAGGACAGAUUUCGGAUACGCACAAGUUGGGAAGAAAGAUUCAAUAAGUCGAUUUUUAUGUUACAUUUUGAACUAGUGCUUCCAAGUGACAAUGGCUCAUACCGCUGUUCUGUGAAUGCCUCGUCUCAUGUAAUUCAUUCCCACUCAAUAACCAUCCACGUGACAGAACAGGCUCAAAAUAAUUCAGAACACGCUCUAACAAAUACAACCAGUGUCUCAGAACCACCCUCCAAAGAAGAGAUGGCGGAUGUGCUACGGCUCCUGUACAAUCUGCUUCCUUUGGGGGGAUUUCCUCUGCUCGUCAUUGCCUGUUUUUGCCUGUUCUACUGCCUGAAAAGGCACCAAGGGAAAAGGAAGAAGACUUCUGAUAUGGCAGAAAGGGAAAGUAAUCUGGGUAAUGUUAUCCAGCCCCUGACGUGUGAGCCAACGGAAGUGAACACCAGGCAGAAUUCCCAAACACCACCACUGGAAGCUGAAAUGCACGACAGUGACCCCUGGUUCAGGACACAGGAAGGAUCUGAAGUUUAUUCUAAUCCACACCUGGAGGAAAAUAAACAAGUCAUUGUUUAUGCUUCCCUGAACCAUUCCAUUAUCAGAAUGAACCCAAGACAGGCAAGCAAUGUGAAAGAAGCACCAACAGAAUAUGCAUCUAUAUGUGUGAGGAGUUAAGUUUGGUCUUGAUACCAGGCGGGGACCACUGAAGGAUCAGAGCGUCAACACCAUUCUCUCACCUGAACAGGACAACCAAUAAUAUGCUUCAGCUUGGCGGAUUCUCACUUUAGAGUGGUUCUUGUUGGUGCUUAGAUUUUAAGGGUCCAAAGAAGGUAUAAUUAAAAUUUUCCUGAAAACUUCUUUAGGAACUUCUGUACUAUAGCAUUGGACAACAAAGUAUUUUGUUGUAGGGCAUUUAAUGUUAGCUAUAUUUUACCUAAUAUAUCCACUCAGUAUUUCAUUUGGAGCUACCAGAGAGACCCAAUAAAAGAGGUUUGUGUUAUCUUCAUCAGUUCACUACACACUCUUUAAAAAUAAAGGAUGUCUUAAUUUGACUAUAGGUACAGUGAUGAUUGUAUGUUUACAGUCUGUCUUCCAUAAUGGGAAAACUUCUUAUGUCAUUCUCAGGCUAGUAUUUCUUAGAUAUAAAGAAAAAUUAGUAUACACUUAUCUAAGAAGAGGAAAAGAAUAACUGUUACAGAUAUACACAUCAGAGUACAGAUAUGAAACACAUUGACUGGAUGUGGGGCAGAUGUGCUUCCCAUGCCUGACAAACAAAUUUUUAUAUCUGUUCUGUUAGGUUGGAAAGCAAAUAUAGUUAAUAAUGGAGCAAAGAAUGUAAAGUAGAUUUAUGAGCAGAGGGGUAGCUCAGUAUUUGAGUGACACAGACUAAUGUAUAUGAAUGUGACAUAAUGCUGCUGGAUGAAUAUCCUUGUGGACAUCUGAAUACAGCAUACAAACCAAGGAGGAAAAGUAUUACUGGACCCGUACAGAUUCAACUUUUAAAUUGCCUCAUGUUUGACCUGAUAACAAAUUAAAAGGACAAUUAAUGAAAUGGAAAAGAUUUCAGACUAUUUAGUUGGUCAGCAGGGGUCCACAUAAUUUAAAAGACAGCAGCAUCUUGUUUUUCUAAGAAAUCAGAGCAAAUCAAGUAUAGUGAAGUCUUACAGUUUGAUAAUCAUUCAUUUUAAAAUACUGGCAUGGCAGCCACUUAGGAGAUAGUUUUGAAUUUUCUGAAUUUCUGGAAUACUUGUGUCUAAUUAUUUCGAAUAUAAUAUACGACUUGGUUUAAAAACUUGAGGCUAGUAUUCUCAGGAGCUGCUGCUUAGUAAUGCAGUUGUCCUCGUACAAAGUAGAUGACAAAAGUUAGGAGUCACUUGAACAAAUACAGAAGCUGCUGAGCAGAUGAAUGUGAUCUGUGAGUGUGCAAGUGUGUACAUGUGUUAGUGUAUAAAAGGGGUAAAUGACUUAGGGAAUGGUACACGGGAAACUGAUCAAAUUUUCAGUUUGCUCAGGAAAUGUAAAGUAGUAGAAUAAAUGAGUCAUUAUAGAAGAGAAUGAGAAAUAAUGAGAGUAAGAAUGUGCAUAGACAACACACACACGUGCACACACACACAAGCCAAAACUAAGUGUUUGGUGUGAAGCUUUCUUAAAUAAUGCUUAGGUGAAGUUUUAGUUCCUUGGAUUUGGGGCCGCAGAUACUGUUUCUGAGUCAGUGUUAUCAAUUCAGCAUCAUCACACCUAGAAUUCUAAAGCAACAGAUUCUAGGUAGGCUGCUGUAACCUAGCUUCAUCUGUGGGCAAGUUAUGUAAAAGAGAUAUUAGAAUAGCUGCUCACUGUGUUUUUAAAAAUAGAAACAGGAAGCAUGAGAGGAAAUGCGUAGCUACCCUCUUAUCGGAUAACACCUAAGUGAGUUCUUUCAUAAUCACUUCUAAUUUAAAAGAUGAGUAUUUCUGUCUACUGUGUUUGGAAAUGCUUAACAUGUUUUACAGCAAAAGAUAAUAUUGGUAAUGAUUUCACCUCUGUAAGUGACUCACUAUGUUUGUACAAAACUUGUAAAAAUCAUGUGGUUUAUGGUUUUAUUUUUUCUUAAUCAUGUCAUAGAUACAGAUGCUGUUUCCCCAAAUAAAUCUAUUCAGCAUUGUUUCCAUGAUUAAUUGAUUAAUGUAUAGACGGCAGACAAUUUAAUGAUUCUUCGUACAUUUUCAUCUUAAUUAUUUCCGGUGUGAAAAGAAAGUUAUUAAAACUUACUUUAUAUCAAUUUGUUAUUUGCUUUUGUAUCAAAAAG
rnacentral:lncRNA from 1 species